rnacentral:rRNA from 1 species
UACGGCGGGGGCUAGCGUUGUUCGGAAUUACUGGGCGUAAAGCGCACGUAGGCGGCUUUGUAAGUUGGAGGUGAAAGCCCGGGGCUCAACUCCGGAAUUGCCUUUAAGACUGCAUCGCUCGAAUUGUGGAGAGGUAAGUGGAAUUCCGAGUGUAGAGGUGAAAUGCGUAGAGAUCCGGAGGAACACCAAAGGCGAAGGCAGUGUCCUGGGGAGUACCUGACGCUCAGGUGCGAAAGCCAGGGGAGCGAACGGG